rnacentral:lncRNA from 1 species
AAGAAGAAGAUGACAAGAGAGAUCACACCCAAAUUGGAUCAAAGCAUUGAUCAAGUUAUCAUCAAAAUCAAUCAUCCAUUUUGGUGGAUUAGGGUUUUCACCUCAUCAACAUCCAAGAUCCAUUGAGUUUGAUGAGACAUAUGAUCAAAACAACCAUGAUCUACGGCCAACAAAAGUAACCAAAUGUCAAACAAAUAUAAAAUGCAAAAGGAUAAAAUAAAAGGCAUUCAAAAUA